rnacentral:rRNA from 1 species
UGCCUAACAGCUAGCCCACCCAAACAAUUUCAACAAACCCCUGUUAAUAACCCCUAAGUACCCCAGUAUUUAUUUUAAACAAACCAUUUUUCCCCCCUAGUAUAGGCGAUAGAAAAGGGCCUACGGCGCAAUAGAGAAAGUACCGCAAGGGAACGCUGAAAGAGAAAUGAAACAACCCAGUAAAGCCUAAAAAAGCAGAGAUCUAAACUCGUACCUUUUGCAUCAUGAUUUAGCAAGUGUAACCCAAGCAAAGCGUACUUUAGUUUGACGUCCCGAAACUAGGUGAGCUACUCCAAGACAGCCUAUCAAUAGGGCGUACCCGUCUCUGUGGCAAAAGAGUGGGGAGAGCUUUGAGUAGAGGUGACAAACCUACCGAACCUAGUUAUAGCUGGUUGUCCAAGAAAUGAAUAGAAGUUCAGCCUUUCAGCUUCUCUUUUCACCUUAGCCUGACCCCUAUUGAUGUAUUAAAGAAACCGAAAGAGUUAGUCAAAGGGGGUACAGCUCCUUUGAAUCAAGACACAACUUUCCCAGGAGGGUAAAGAUCAUAAUAAUUAAAGCUAAAUGUUCUGGUGGGCCUAAAAGCAGCCAUCCCCUUAGAAAGCGUUAAAGCUCAGACAUGCGACCAUACUUCUUAUCCUGAUCACCCAAUCUUAUCCCCCUAACCGUACUGGACCAUCCCAUGCCAACAUGGGAGUGACUAUGCUGAAAUGAGUAAUAAGAGAGCUAUCGGCUCUCUCCCUGCACACAUGUACAUCGGAACGGACAACCCACCGAACCUUAACGGCCCCAAAUAAAGAGGGCAAUGGAUGUUAGACCAAAAAACUAGAAAACUAUCCAAAAACCAACCGUUAAACCCACACAGGUGUGCCCCCAGGGAAAGACUAAA